AAAAAAAGUCUUAUCUUGAACAAUAUAUUCAAAAUAUUUUAGGAAUGAAAUAAUGAUCUUUACAGAUCUUUACUUUUUUGUAUUUUUAGUAAAAUACAAUAUAUAUAUACCUUUUGAUUGGUAAUACCACAUGACAUUUUUUUGUAACCAUUAAACUGAGAUGGACAUGGUGUUCUGUCGUGUGGGUAGACACACGUCCUGGGACACAGGAAUCAGGAGGGGGUGUUUUUGUGCUCUGUUUUAGUCAACUUCCUCUCUGUGCCACAGAACUUCCUGUGUUGGUUCCGUGAAAGGAGGCCCACCAGUUUCCCCCCAGCGGAAUGAGUGUGUGCCUGUGCACGUGGGUGCUCAUCUUACAUAUUGCAGGUUCAGUGGGAUUUCAGCAGGACCGGUUUAUCCAGGGGAGAACUGGUGUUUGUGUGCUGCGGUAAGGAACUGCUCAAACCUGUUCACCUCGUCAGUGGGGAGAAGAAGGAGGGGCUGCAUGGAGAGGAGAAGGAGGAGGAGAGGAGCACAGGGCGUAUGUAACACUCUUCUUUUCUUCUUUUUCAUUUCGUUCUCAUUCCCAUUAGUUUUCAAUCUGAUGUGGCUCUCCGGGGGGCUCCGGAUGAAACUGGCUUGA
rnacentral:lncRNA from 1 species